AUUGAAGGGUGUAAGGAUUGUAUUAGCCAAUUUUGAAAAUUUCUUGUUUCUUUUGGACGGUGAAUGUGGAGGGAAGGGGAAGAGAACUGAAAUUUUUAUUUGGUUACUCUUUGGGUGAGCUGUUGUUCGAAUGGAGAGGGGAAGAGCUAGUUGUUGCAUGGUGGAUUUUGAGCUCAUUUAGGAGCUGAUUCCUUAAGGAAAAAUGAUAAACUUCUUAUUCUCCGCUUGUAUUUAGGUCUCUCGUCGAAAUGGCAGUUUGGGGAGGGUGUUUUUGUGAUUGACCGAAUGUUGGAGAGGGGGGAGGAAAUCCCUCUCCCAGUUGCGUUUUGGAAUGUUUAAUGAUGUUAACCGCCCUGGCUUGUGCUUGUUCUUAGUAUAAUUUCAUGGCUAUCGAGUGUGUUUCCUUAGUAACGAAAGUGAUUUGUUUGUUUAGCUAAAGAGGAAGCUGAAGGCAGCAGCAGAAGGGGAAAGGGCAUCGCACAGGGGUAAGUUCAGCUAUAGCUUCUGGUGAGUUCCUCUUGUACUCUUCCAUGUCUUUUCUUUUGCUGGUAUGUUUGGAUUUUGAAGCUGGUGAGAAUGGCCGAUGUAUGCAAUGAGGUGUGUUGUUAAUGCUUGGUACAUUUAUUGUGUUUCGGCUGUUAUGGAAGGUUUUUGUCCAGAAAGUUGUGUGGUUAUGAAGCUUAAAAAUCUGCUGCUGGAAGUAUUAUUGAUGCCAUUAAUGUUGUAGGUAGUUGUAAAUGAAUAGAAAUUAAAUACUGUAGUCUUUGGUCAAUUGAUAGUUAGUGUGCCGGAUUAAUGAUGUUCAGAGAGUGGUGUAUUUAUGCUGUUUUAAGGACUGCUGUUUGGUGUAUUAAUGCAGCAGGAAAAUUGUUGUUUAGACGUCAAUUAAUAUUGUCAGAGUGACUGUAAAUUUAUGUUAAUAAUGGUUGAAAUUGUUAAUGAACAAAUGAUAUAUAAAUGAGCUAUUUAGAUGUUAAAGAAUGUUGUCUAAAUGGAUGAAGACUAUGUUGUCCAAAACUGCUAUUUAACUGUUUUACAAGCUGAUAUUUAAGGGGAUU
rnacentral:lncRNA from 1 species